rnacentral:rRNA from 1 species
UACAGAGGGGGCAAGCGUUGUUCGGAAUUACUGGGCGUAAAGGGCGCGUAGGCGGCCUGCUAAGUCGAACGUGAAAUCCCUGGGCUCAACCCAGGAACUGCGUCCGAUACUGGUUGGCUUGAAUCCGGGAGAGGGAUGUGGAAUUCCAGGUGUAGCGGUGAAAUGCGUAGAUAUCUGGAGGAACACCGGUGGCGAAGGCGACAUCCUGGACCGGGUAUUGACGCUGAGGCGCGAAAGCCAGGGGGAGCAAACGGG